rnacentral:lncRNA from 1 species
GCUGCUGCCACGUAAGAAGUGUCUUUCGCCUCCCGCCAUGAUUCUGAGGCCUCCCCAGCCAUGUGCAACUGCGUGUUUACUGCUCUGGGCCCAGUGCCUCCCUCGCUCAAUGGAGUGACGGCAUCCAACUCACAAGACAGGAGACUCAACAGAAUGACCAAGUGGAGAAGACGUCUAAGUUCUCAGCGGUCUCAGCCGAAUGACUGAAGAGGAACCAGGGACAGGGAUGACUCACAUGGGAAGAGGACCCCACUUUGUUCUGUUUGAUUCUAAGAGGACACAGACUGCUUCAUUCAUUUCAGUUUCCCCAGCACCUGGCUUAACUCUCAGACAUGUUAGACGGUUUGUAAGCACCGGCUCUACUGAACUGGCAUCAAAUCAUGACCUGGUUCAGAAGAGACACGAGGACUGGAUCUGUUCUAAACAGAUUGUGCAAAGGGGAAAGACACAGACUCAGCAUUUCCACAGCUUUUAACAUUUCAGCGAGAGGUGAGAAAGCAUGUCAGGAACACAGGCCCGGCCGAUGAAAGUGUCUGAUGCUAACACAUGAACUGUCUUCUGCUGGGCACACUAAGGGGCCACAAGCAAGCUACGCCCCAGAGCCACUCCACAUUCUCUCUGGGUGCACUGGCCCUCGGCCACGCAAGGCCGCGCCAGCCUCCGAGGUGAGCCAGAAGGACACACACCUGUGGACUCGAUGUCCCUGACUUGGGCUCGAUGGCCAGCCCCAGGGUGACUCCGCCCGCCAGCGCUUUCUUCAGGCUCUCCUUGACCUCCGUCAGCUCCAGCUCCAGGCUGACACGCUCCGCCUCCUUCUGCCGGCACUCCUCCUCCAGCUGCUUCAGCUUCUCCUCCAGGAUCGCCUGCGGCUUCCUGCCGGCGUUCACUUCAAUAGCCGCUCGAAGGUCUUUUCUUUCCUUGCGGAGCUGGGCCAGCCUAUUCCGCAGGGCCUCUUUCCUCUUCAGCAGCUCCUCCUCUUUGGUCUGUAGCCGCUUGGCAUCUGCUUCUACCCGGUUCUUGCCAUACUUGUACUGGGCAGCAUUCGAACCCGUCCUUUUCACAACAGCCGCGGGAUCCGCUUUCUUUGGCUGACUGCUCAGAGUCUUCCCUUUUCCUGUGACCCCAUUAGACGCCACGGGGGGCUUUUUACCCUUGAGCUGUUGAAAUAAACAUAUAAGAACAUUAAAAAUAAACACAAAGUCAAAC